rnacentral:rRNA from 1 species
UACAGAGGGCGCAAGCGUUGUUCGGAUUCAUUGGGCGUAAAGGGUGCGUAGGCGGCGCGGUAAGUCGGGUGUGAAAUCUCGGGGCUUAACUCCGAAACUGCAUUCGAUACUGCCGUGCUUGAGGACUGGAGAGGAGACUGGAAUUUACGGUGUAGCGGUGAAAUGCGUAGAUAUCGUAAGGAAGACCAGUGGCGAAGGCGGGUCUCUGGACAGUUCCUGACGCUGAGGCACGAAGGUCAGGGGAGCAAACGGG